ensembl:lncRNA
AUGCUGAAAAGACAUAAAGGAAGCAGUCACCCCAGUGGUGUUUGUGGAGAGGUAUUCCUUCAGAAAUGGAGAAGACAGAAAGCUGCAGAGGCAGGUUGGUCUGUGAUAGUUUGUCCCUUUUAUCAAACAUUCCUGCUGUUAUCAUUUGCACAGCAUUUGUUGUUUCUUAAACUGUUGUACGGUCCAAAUACCCACACUUGCCGUCUUUGCACAUUUCCUUUAUUUGGCCCAAGUGAGCAUGAAGAUCACAAUGUGUGUCGAUCUUAACAUGACAAAGUUCCUUUCAACUUUGCAUUUUAAAAUAAACUUCUAAAUGUCUUUUCAAUAGUCCCUAUUAAAGAUGACAAUUUAAUUUGUGGUGCUUCUAAUUAAGUGAUAAAAAGCAGUUGCAAAUGAUGUAAAAAAUUAAUAUACUUUUCUGUGCACCACAAAAACUUUGUUUUACUACUAAAUUAUUCUCAAUUUCUAAUUAUUAUUAUUAAUAUUUCACAAACAUUGGAAAGGUUUGCGUGACCUCCUGUGAGAUCUCUGCAAAAAGUCUCACGAUUAAUUCCAAAACAUGAUGCAUGAUGGGAUACACUAAGCGUUGUAUAGCGCUCUGGAGCAGUAUUGGAGAGGUUUAGUGUGAGUUAAGGACGCUGCGCUUUGGCAUUAUUAAGACCGGGGACAGUCUCAUAGUCAUGUACACACGCUCUCAAGUGACUAAGACCUCAAGUGUGGGUAUCUGGAAACGGGAAAAGUCUUUAAAAUGAUCCCUAAAUACAGUCGCACAUCAAAGUCUUAAUAAUUCAGUAAUUCAAUUUAACACUUGUAUGAUAUUGUACAAGCCCCUGGACAAUCUCAUCUGACACUAUCACAACAUUGGAAAAUCAGUUGCCCCACACAGUCAGAAAGUUUAUAUUGUUCAUUGGCUUCUCAUUAAAUUACUUCAAAUAAGCCCCAUCAGUUCAUGUUCCCACUAUACGUGAUCUCCAUGAGUAGAUAUUGCUAGUUUAAUGUGUCACAUGAUAUAUAUAUUAAAUCUUUGAUUAAUUUGUCAGGACCAGAUCAAUUACACUACUGAUAACAGUCUUGUUAGCAUGUAUUCAUUUUUAAACCAACUCAUAUGAAUAUAGCUUGCUAUGAAUUACUUGCUUUCAAUAAUGGAUGCAUUUAACAUUUAAUUAUACAGCAUCUUUGCAGAGGAUGCUUUCAUGGUCUAAAAAAAUAUGUAUAAGUAAUGUAUAAGUUAAAGUAUAUAGUAAUGUAUAAGUUCAAUGUAAUGAAAUAAUAUUUCCUUUCUUUCUGUCUUACAGGAUUGUUUGCAGAUAAUGCUGUUCUUCUUUUUCAGAAGUUUUUGGUGAGCCAACUCUCACAAACCUUCCUAAAAACUAAAAGAGCUAUUACUGAGUCUCGGCUAAUCUUGCCAUGGUCAGCUCUUCCCAGGUACAUUUGUUUACUCAUCAAAUGCUCUGGUCUGAAUCUUACUUUAAAUUAACUUAAUUAUAUGUUUAAUGAGCAAUAUUAAUUGCACACAUAGUAAGAUUAUCUUGUUUCACAGAAGAGAAGGAAGACCAAGGAAAUUAUUUGCUCAGGAUGAGAAAUGAAGAUGGCCAUCUUGUGCUCAAACAAACAGAAGUCCUCUGGUAUGUGUGUGUUGAAGCAAUGCUGUGUUAUGUGUUACAGGACUUUAUGAUUCCUGUAACUCUAUGAUUAUUCUUUCCAAUGUUUUUAUAUUUAUUUUAUUUUAUUUGAUACAGCUAUUAUAAUUAUAGCAUGUUAGCAAAGUGUGACUGGAACAUUUUUAAUCUAAAAUUUUUAAAAAACACCACCUGUUUUUCUUAAAAGAACACAAGUGUCAUAAAAGUGGUUUAAUUGAUAUAAACACAAAUUUACAUUAUCUCAUUGUUUUAUAAAUGUUGUGUUAUGGAUUGUGGAUUGAUAGUUGAUUGGUUUGAAGCCAGGCCUUAACCCUGCUCAGACUAAAACACAUUUGUGAGAGAAGUCAGGAACUUUGGAGAAAGAUUCUAGAGAAAAAAAAAGACACAUUUACUGCAACAAUAGAUGAAUUCUAGAGUCUCUGAGAACUACACAUGCUAAUGCUGUCUCAUGAGCAGGACCUUUGCCUCUGUAACUUUUUCUUAAUUCUUGCAGAAUGAAAUUUUUAUUGCAGUAUUUUAAUUUGUACAGAUGAUCUCAUCAGCCAAAUGAGGGGUUUUGACCAAGUGAUGCUCUUGAAAGGAGUGAAAGAAGAGGAUGUGGUAAAUUGUCUUAAAGCAGCUUGAAGAAUGGUAAGUGUACAGUACUACAAGGGUCAUAGUUGCUCACCCUGCUAAAAUCACACAGAACAUAAGCUGAGCUCUCUGUCCAUUAAACAACUUCAUCUGGAUUGUUUGUUUCACUUUGACCAGGUCUGGGAUGUUAGGACUGAGAGAUCCUCUGACUGAGAGAAGCUACACCACAUCAGUGCUGGAUAUCAACCACAAACUGUUUCCAGACACGAGAGAAGAAGAUCAUGAUGGGGAGAUGAAACCAGUUUAGAUGUGAUGAUAAGGAAUCAUUAUUUUCUGAAACAGGAUCAAAUGUCUUAUAUGUAUCACAUGAUCUGUAUCACAGUUGACUGGAUGGGACUGUGUGACUCUUUAAGUACAUUUCAUCACUCAUCUGUGUGAACUGAUUAAUAUAUGAGGUUAAUGUAUUUUUGAUUAUGAAUAAUUAUUUUCCUUGAAUCUUAUUUGUCUUGAUGCUACUUUAUCAUCUGUAUAGUCUAUGCUUCAAUAAAAUGAAAAUUGUGAAUA